GCUGUAUUCUGUGCCUCUAUGAAGAACUGGCAGUGGUGCUGAAAAUUACUACUAAAAAGAUGAAAGACCAAUACCUUCCUUUCAAUAAAAACCAUCGUCUGGACUCUAGCCAAGGUUUUAAAACUGACCGAAUGUUAUUAGAAACAAUAAAUCAAAAACUCUACAGGCUGAAAAGCUAGUCUCUUAUUUCAUUCUCACAAAAUGUAGCCACAAAACACUGUAAGAAAAUUAAUUGACAAGAAAGCAUUAAUAAUUCUAGGCCUUUCAUUUCUGGCAAUAAUCAAAUUCUGUAUAUUACAAAGUGAGUUUAUUUUACAAUCUGCUAGGUUCUGUUUAGCCCAUCUACCCUUUCCCUGUUUUCUUCAAUCAUUACAAAUGCUACAUAAAUAAAUAAACUCAUGUUAUUGCCUAAACAUCCUAUCACUGAACUUAAAUAGAAAUUAAAUGGAGAACUAAAAGAUUUUAGUUCAUAAAAUCUAACCAGCAUAUUCGUGUUCAUAUUGAUUUUAUACUCUUUGUUCCUGCACAUAACACAGAUGUGAAUUCCUGGAGGUUAUAGAUAAGUCUUUCUUUCUCUAUCCAGGAGCUGAAUUGCCAGCUACAGAGAAUAACCUACUGCAAUGCUUAAAGCCCCUCAGGUAUCCUGCCUUCUGAAUAUAUAAAUGGGUUCAUUAUCUUUACUUUUCCCCCAUAUCAAUAUUAGGUUCCUCAUCACUAUCUUUUAAAUACCCCCCAGGAGUUGUUAUCACAGAAAUUGGGGGGGGGGGGGGGGCAUGACUUCUAUAAUACACAAGUAUGUUUUAAAAGUACGUUGUUUACAAUAUAGUACUUUGCUCCCUAGCUAACAAAAAUUUUAGGAAAGAGAAGCUGAAAAUUUUAAUAAUUCUCUUCUUUCCACCUUCCUCUUCCCCCUUCACUCUAUUCCAAAACAACAGAACAGCCCAAACCAAAGACGGGAUUACUUUGUACACUUCAUGCAAUCAGUAAAAAGACAAGUCCCCGUCUUGUUAUCAAAACAGAAUAGUUGAUUCCAAUCCGUUUGCAUCCUGUAACCACUGCCUAUGUGAUAGACGUUUAAAUCAAGUUUCAACCCUGCUACAAAGCCUUUGUCAACACUGGGCAAGCGGGGGAAAGCCGAAGGGCUCUGUGGAAUGAAGGAAAUCACCGGAGGGGCUCCUCUCGGAAGAGGAGGAUUCCUCGGCGAGAGGCUUGGGCUCGGAUUAUACUUCCUGGUCCCUCUGUGGUUAGCUGGAGCCGUGUGACCCGUGCUGACCAAUGAGUGCAUUCCAGCUCCUCUGCCUGGUGGUCAGAUGCUGCAGUGAACAGUGGAGAUCAUGUGCAUAUCCGAAGGGCCUGGAAGAGGGUCCUUCAGAAGCAGAAGCUCAUCUUCAAAGAGCUGGACCAACUCCAUCAAGCACAGAGCUGCCACAAGUACAUGCUCAGAAAGUGCCAGCAUUCUCCCCUUUGCCAUCUUGCACGGGAGACGCUGAAGUACAAUGGAAAGAAUCCAGACUUUGGAGCAUGUAAAACCUGGGCCCACAUCCUGUCUCUACCACUGACUACCUGCGUGACCCUGG